ensembl:snoRNA SNORA70 Small nucleolar RNA SNORA70
AAAUAGCUAAUUAAGCCGACCGUGCUGCCCUCCCCAUCGUGCCCAGUGUGCAGUGGCUGCAAAGAGCAGCCUCCUGGGUAGUGUAUGCAGCCUGUUGCUUGUAUAGGCUGCUCUAAGGGACCCUGGAGACGGCC